rnacentral:rRNA from 1 species
AUUGAACGCUGGCGGCAGGCCUAACACAUGCAAGUCGAGCGAGCGGCGGACAGGUGCGUAAUGUUUGGGAACCUGCCUGAUGGAGGGGGAUAACUACUGGAAACGGUAGCUAAUACCGCAUACCAUCAGAUGUGCGCAGGUGGGAUUAGCUAGUAGGUGGGGUAACGGCUCACCUAGGCGACGAUCCCUAGCUGGUCUGAGAGGAUGACCAGCCACACUGGAACUGAGACACGGUCCAGACUCCUACGGGAGGCAGCAGUGGGGAAUAUUGCACAAUGGGCGCAAGCCUGAUGCAGCCAUGCCGCGUGUGUGAAGAAGGCCUUCGGGUUGUAAAGCACUUUCAGCGGGGAGGCGUUACCCGCAGAGGAAGCACCGGCUAACUCCGUGCCAGCAGCCGCGGUAAUAC